ACAAUGAAGAGUUUGAUCCUGGCUCAGGAUGAACGCUAGCUACAGGCUUAACACAUGCAAGUCGAGGGGCAUCAGGAAGAAAGCUUGCUUUCUUUGCUGGCGACCGGCGCACGGGUGAGUAACACGUAUCCAACCUGCCCUUUACUCGGGGAUAGCCUUUCGAAAGAAAGAUUAAUACCCGAUGGCAUAAUGAUUCCGCAUGGUUUCAUUAUUAAAGGAUUCCGGUAAAGGAUGGGGAUGCGUUCCAUUAGGUUGUUGGUGAGGUAACGGCUCACCAAGCCUUCGAUGGAUAGGGGUUCUGAGAGGAAGGUCCCCCACAUUGGAACUGAGACACGGUCCAAACUCCUACGGGAGGCAGCAGUGAGGAAUAUUGGUCAAUGGGCGCUAGCCUGAACCAGCCAAGUAGCGUGAAGGAUGAAGGCUCUAUGGGUCGUAAACUUCUUUUAUAUAAGAAUAAAGUGCAGUAUGUAUACUGUUUUGUAUGUAUUAUAUGAAUAAGGAUCGGCUAACUCCGUGCCAGCAGCCGCGGUAAUACGGAGGAUCCGAGCGUUAUCCGGAUUUAUUGGGUUUAAAGGGAGCGUAGGUGGACUGGUAAGUCAGUUGUGAAAGUUUGCGGCUCAACCGUAAAAUUGCAGUUGAUACUGUCAGUCUUGAGUACAGUAGAGGUGGGCGGAAUUCG
rnacentral:rRNA from 1 species